GGAUGUGAGGGAGAUCUGACUGUGACAUCUGUCACCCCCUGGAUUGCCAGGGUUGAUUUGACUGAUCUGGCUGGCUAGGCGACUGUCCCCGUCCUCCCUCACCGCUCCAUUUACGUCCCUCCCGAAGCUGAGCACUCAGUCGAAGAAGACGACCUUCCCCAAUAGAGGAGGACUGUUCUUCAGGUAAGGGUAUACGAGUAGCUGCGCUCCCCUGCUAGAACCUCCAAACAAGCUUUCAAGAUUAAUAUGAGGGUACCAAUGUUAGGUUAUAUUUGUAGAUUUGUGCAGUAAAGUGCAAAUGGUAAUCAAGUCCUUCAUCCAGGAGGUGGGCCAUGUACCCUUACAU
ensembl:misc_RNA 7SK 7SK RNA